AGUGAACGCUGGCGGUAGGCCUAACACAUGCAAGUCGAACGGCAGCACAGUAAGAGCUCGCUCUUACGGGUGGCGAGUGGCGGACGGGUGAGGAAUACAUCGGGAUCUACUUUUUCGUGGGGGAUAACGUAGGGAAACUUACGCUAAUACCGCAUACGACCUACGGGUGAAAGCAGGGGAUCUUCGGACCUUGCGCGAUUGAAUGAGCCGAUGUCGGAUUAGCUAGUUGGCGGGGUAAAGGCCCACCAAGGCGACGAUCCGUAGCUGGUCUGAGAGGAUGAUCAGCCACACUGGAACUGAGACACGGUCCAGACUCCUACGGGAGGCAGCAGUGGGGAAUAUUGGACAAUGGGCGCAAGCCUGAUCCAGCCAUACCGCGUGGGUGAAGAAGGCCUUCGGGUUGUAAAGCCCUUUUGUUGGGAAAGAAAAGCAGCAGGUUAAUACCCCGCUGUUCUGACGGUACCCAAAGAAUAAGCACCGGCUAACUUCGUG
rnacentral:rRNA from 1 species